rnacentral:rRNA from 1 species
UGAGGAAUAUUGGUCAAUGGGCGAGAGCCUGAACCACCCAAGUCGCGUGAAGGAAGACAGUCCUAAGGAUUGUAAACUUCUUUUAUACGGGAAUAACGGGCGAUACGAGUAUUGCAUUGAAUGUACCGUAAGAAUAAGCAUCGGCUAACUCCGUGCCAGCAGCCGCGGUAAUACGGAGGAUGCGAGCGUUAUCCGGAUUUAUUGGGUUUAAAGGGUGCGUAGGUUGUUCGGUAAGUCAGCGGUGAAACCUGAGCGCUCAACGUUCAGCCUGCCGUUGAAACUGCCGGGCUUGAGUUCAGUGGCGGCAGGCGGAAUUCGUGGUGUAGCGGUGAAAUGCAUAGAUAUCACGAGGAACUCCGAUUGCGAAGGCAGCUUGCCAUACUGCGACUGACACUGAAGCACGAAGGCGUGGGUAUCAAACAGG